rnacentral:rRNA from 1 species
GACGAACGCUGGCGGCGUGCCUAAUACAUGCAAGUAGAACGCACAGUUUAUACCGUAGCUUGCUACACCAUACACUGUGAGUUGCGAACGGGUGAGUAACGCGUAGGUAACCUGCCUGGUAGCGGGGGAUAACUAUUGGAAACGAUAGCUAAUACCGCAUAAUAUUGAUUAUUGCAUGAUAAUUGAUUGAAAGAUGCUAUUGCAUCACUACCAGAUGGACCUGCGUUGUAUUAGCUAGUAGGUGAGGUAACGGCUCACCUAGGCGACGAUACAUAGCCGACCUGAGAGGGUGAUCGGCCACACUGGGACUGAGACACGGCCCAGACUCCUACGGGAGGCAGCAGUAGGGAAUCUUCGGCAAAGGACGAAAGUCUGACCGAGCAACGCCGCGUGAGUGAAGAAGGUUUUCGGAUCGUAAAGCUCUGUUGUAAGAGAAGAACGGGUGUGAGAGUGGAAAGUUCACACUGUGACGGUAUCUUACCAGAAAGGGACGGCUAACUACGU